rnacentral:rRNA from 1 species
UACAGAGGUCCCAAGCGUUGUUCGGAUUCAUUGGGCGUAAAGGGUGCGUAGGUGGCGCUGUAAGUCGGGUGUGAAAUUUCAGAGCUUAACUCCGAAACUGCAUUCGAUACUGCGGUGCUCGAGGACUGGAGAGGAGACUGGAAUUCAUGGUGUAGCAGUGAAAUGCGUAGAGAUCAUGAGGAAGACCAGUGGCGAAGGCGGGUCUCUGGACAGUUCCUGACACUGAGGCACGAAGGCCAGGGGAGCAAACGGG